UGGGCGUUAAGUUGCAGGGUAUAGACCCGAAACCCGGUGAUCUAGCCAUGGGCAGGUUGAAGGUUGGGUAACACUAACUGGAGGACCGAACCGACUAAUGUUGAAAAAUUAGCGGAUGACCUGUGGCUGGGGGUGAAAGGCCAAUCAAACCGGGAGAUAGCUGGUUCUCCCCGAAAGCUAUUUAGGUAGCGCCUCGUGAAUUCAUCUCCGGGGGUAGAGCACUGUUUCGGCUAGGGGGCCAUCCCGGCUUACCAACCCGAUGCAAACUGCGAAUACCGGAGAAUGUUAUCACGGGAGACACACGGCGGGUGCUAACGUCCGUCGUGAAGAGGGAAACAACCCAGACCGCCAGCUAAGGUCCCAAAGUCAUGGUUAAGUGGGAAACGAUGUGGGAAGGCCCAGACAGCCAGGAUGUUGGCUUAGAAGCAGCCAUCAUUUAAAGAAAGCGUAAUAGCUCACUGGUCGAGUCGGCCUGCGCGGAAGAUGUAACGGGGCUAAACCAUGCACCGAAGCUGCGGCAGCGACGCUGAUGCGUUGUUGGGUAGGGGAGCGUUCUGUAAGCCUGCGAAGGUGUGUCGUGAGGCAUGCUGGAGGUAUCAGAAGUGCGAAUGCUGACAUAAGUAACGAUAAAGCGGGUGAAAAGCCCGCUCGCCGGAAGACCAAGGGUUCCUGUCCAACGUUAAUCGGGGCAGGGUGAGUCGACCCCUAAGGCGAGGCCGAAAGGCGUAGUCGAUGGGAAACGGGUUAAUAUUCCCGUACUUGGUGUUACUGCGAAGGGGGGACGGAGAAGGCUAUGUUGGCCGGGCGACGGUUGUCCCGGUUUAAGCGUGUAGGUGUGUGUUCCAGGUAAAUCCGGUUCACUUUAACACUGAGGCGUGAUGACGAGGCACUACGGUGCUGAAGCAACAAAUGCCCUGCUUCCAGGAAAAGCCUCUAAGCAUCAGGUAACAUCAAAUCGUACCCCAAACCGACACAGGUGGUCAGGUAGAGAAUACCAAGGCGCUUGAGAGAACUCGGGUGAAGGAACUAGGCAAAAUGGUGCCGUAACUUCGGGAGAAGGCACGCUGACACGUAGGUGAAGUGAUUUACUCAUGGAGCUGAAGUCAGUCGAAGAUACCAGCUGGCUGCAACUGUUUAUUAAAAACACAGCACUGUGCAAACACGAAAGUGGACGUAUACGGUGUGACGCCUGCCCGGUGCCGGAAGGUUAAUUGAUGGGGUCAGCGCAAGCGAAGCUCCUGAUCGAAGCCCCGGUAAACGGCGGCCGUAACUAUAACGGUCCUAAGGUAGCGAAAUUCCUUGUCGGGUAAGUUCCGACCUGCACGAAUGGCGUAAUGAUGGCCAGGCUGUCUCCACCCGAGACUCAGUGAAAUUGAACUCGCUGUGAAGAUGCAGUGUACCCGCGGCAAGACGGAAAGACCCCGUGAACCUUUACUAUAGCUUGACACUGAACAUUGAGCCUUGAUGUGUAGGAUAGGUGGGAGGCUUUGAAGUGUGGACGCCAGUCUGCAUGGAGCCGGCCUUGAAAUACCACCCUUUAAUGUUUGAUGUUCUAACGUGGACCCGUGAUCCGGGUUGCGGACAGUGUCUGGUGGGUAGUUUGACUGGGGCGGUCUCCUCCUAAAGAGUAACGGAGGAGCACGAAGGUUGGCUAAUCCUGGUCGGACAUCAGGAGGUUAGUGCAAUGGCAUAAGCCAGCUUGACUGCGAGCGUGACGGCGCGAGCAGGUGCGAAAGCAGGUCAUAGUGAUCCGGUGGUUCUGAAUGGAAGGGCCAUCGCUCAACGGAUAAAAGGUACUCCGGGGAUAACAGGCUGAUACCGCCCAAGAGUUCAUAUCGACGGCGGUGUUUGGCACCUCGAUGUCGGCUCAUCACAUCCUGGGGCUGAAGUAGGUCCCAAGGGUAUGGCUGUUCGCCAUUUAAAGUGGUACGCGAGCUGGGUUUAGAACGUCGUGAGACAGUUCGGUCCCUAUCUGCCGUGGGCGCUGGAGAACUGAGGGGGGCUGCUCCUAGUACGAGAGGACCGGAGUGGACGCAUCACUGGUGUUCGGGUUGUCAUGCCAAUGGCACUGCCCGGUAGCUAAAUGCGGAAGAGAUAAGUGCUGAAAGCAUCUAAGCACGAAACUUGCCCCGAGAUGAGUUCUCCCUGAGACUUAGAGUCUCCUGAAGGAACGUUGAAGACGACGACGUUGAUAGGCCGGGUGUGUAAGCGCAGCGAUGCGUUGAGCUAACCGGUACUAAUGAACCGUGAGGCUUAACCUU
rnacentral:rRNA from 1 species